UCUAAAAGAGAAGCGAUGGCAUACUUACUCCUUCCGCGAUAGCGGAUUCGCCUCGGCGAAAGAGUGGGGUGUCAUCAAACCGCUGACUGUUUACCUGACAGUUAUGCGGAAAUUCUGGUCAAGACCUUCUUUGGCCUGAAUCGAUCGCACGAUCGUCAUGGGUAGCGUAGCUGCCCUGCAUGUUCAACCUUUGUCCUCGAAACCCAUUAAGCACUGAAUGAGAUUUGGGCGAGCCGCCGGCGUCUUACGGCGGGGGAGCGCGCAACGCGGGCCUGUAGCUCAGUUGGUUAGAGCGCACCCCUGAUAAGGGUGAGGUCGGUAGUUCGACUCUACCCAGGCCCACCAUCUUAGCCAAGCACCUUCACGGGGCUGUAGCUCAGCUGGGAGAGCACCUGCUUUGCAAGCAGGGGGUCACCGGUUCGAUCCCGGUCAGCUCCACCAACUUCUCAUUUGGCUGCUUCCAGAUCGGAGCCUUCAGUAUCCAUGCUGAAGACUUCAAUCUGGAAGCAGGCUGGCGAUUCAGUCGGUCUUUAACUGGAUCAGUCUGGCAGGUUUCAACGGCCUCAGGGCCGGUCCUUCCCGGCGAAAGGGAAGGUUUGGAUGUUUGACAACGAAAUUGAUUGGGUAACGCGAUUGGAGAGCUGCGUGUCCGCCGUGAGGCGCACAGGUCAGCAGCAAAAGUUUCCAAGAGCGUAUACAUACAAGGCCGAGCACAAGCAUGAGUCAGCAAUGAUUCAGGCAAGUGUUCAAGUAAGAAGAGUGUCUUUAGGAGAUGUAUCG
rnacentral:tRNA from 1 species